UCCCAUGAGCUAUAGUGGAAGAUUUAGGAAGUGGUUCACAGUUCAGCAUAACGAAAAACUCUGAAUCCUUGCUCUCUGAAAUUAUUCCCCAGAUAGAUUUUUCACUCACUUCUUGGAGCAAACAAUGGAAUCCAAAAUUUUUCUAGUUUAGACAUAAAGUUAUACAUAUACACAUACAUACAUAUAUAUAUAUAUAUAUGUAUACACAC